rnacentral:rRNA from 1 species
GACGAACGCUGGCGGCGUGCCUAAUACAUGCAAGUCGAACGCAGUGGGGACGGGUGAGUAACACGUGGGUAACCUCCCAUCAGAGGGGAUAACACUUGGAAACAGGUGCUAAACCGAUACUGAUGGAUGGACCCGCGGUGCAUUAGCUAGUUGGUGAGGUAACGGCUCACCAAGGCCACGAUGCAUAGCCGGCCUGGGGGGGUGGACGGCCAAACUGGGAAUGGGGAACGGCCCAGACCCCUACGGGGGGCAGGAGUAGGGAAUCUUCGGCAAUGGACGAAAGGCUGACCCAGGAACCCCGCGUGAGGGAAGAAGGUUUUCGGAUCGUAAAACUCCGUUGUUAGGGGAGCGGUAUCUAACCAGAAAGCCACGGCUAACUACGUGCCAGCAGCCGCGGUAAUUC